GGGGCGGGGGCGGAAGAGGGCGCGCUCCCCGCCAGUUUUGUGACGUCACGGGGGUCAGACAAUCCCUUCCAUUUGGCACGGCCUGCCUAUUGGCUCCACGCGUGCGCGCGCCCACGUGGCCACGCCCUGUUGCUGGUGAAGGGGAGGCUUAUGGACAAAGAAGAUGAAGGUGGAUUAGAAUAGAACAGAUACCACAGGUAACUCUCCCAACCAAGAACAAGGCACUGGGCACAAUGCCUGCCAUACAGAAAAACGACGUUGAAUGAACACAGAUGAACGAGUGGAUGGCAGAAGUACAGAAUAAAUGGGAGCUCCAGACUAUGGCGUGUGAAGCAAUAAUCAAGAAUGAAGAAGUUUGUGGCUGAUGUGAUUAGGAAAACAGGUAUGUGCAGGUAUACAUUGUGUGAGUACUCAUGCACGUGUGGACACCAGAGGACAGCCUCAAGUGUUGAACUUCGGAUCCUCCUGCCUUUGCCUCCAAAGUGCUGAGAUUAUAGACAUGGACCACCGUAACUGUUUUGUCCAGUGCUGGGCUGAGCCUAUGACUUUAUGAAUACUGGAUGAGGAAACUCGGUUUCAGAGAAGACAAAUAGCAUCUCUCAUCCCACAGCCCCAGAUUAGAAUCCACCAGCUCUGUGGGUCUGUAGAGCAAUUACAUAAUCUUUUCAACCUGCUCCAAUUUCAUGUCCAACUGGAGAGAUGAAGCUAAGUUACAGAGUACUGAUGAUAAAUUUUAAAAAAGUGUUUUAAAGUUUUAUUUUAACUUUAUGUGUAUGAAUGCUUUCUCUCCAUACAUGUAUGUGCACCAUGCAUGUACAGUGCCUCUGGAGGCCAGAACAGAGCAUCAGGUUCCCUGGAACUGGGGUUACAGAUGGUUGUGAACCACUAUGUGGGUGCUGGGAAAUGAACUCAGGUUCUCAGUAAGACCAGCCAGCACUCUUAACCACUAAGCCAGCUCUCCAGCCCAGUGAUCAUAGAUAUUAGAAGUGGGAAUACUUCUCCACUGGUUGGAGCUUAGUCUGUGUUGAAGAUUGAACUUCCUCAGGACUUCGAAGAAUCUAUGAUAUUUAUAACAACAGCAGUUAAGAGAGAAAGCAUUCCUAGGGCGAGGACCGUACUGGGGUGAAGGGAGAGAAGAGAGUUCACAUGAGCUUUGUGAGGACAGAAACUGGCCCUUCCUAAGUAGAAAGUACCUGUUACGGAACACUAAGCAGCAAGUUCAGGUCAGAAGGUUCCAUGAACUUUAGAUCAAAACUGGAAGUACAAGCUUUUGGAAAGCAGUGGCCUAACACUUGCACCAGGAGGAGGGGUGCACUUGAGGAGGCCUUAUCCCAACUGGAAAUCUUGGACAAGUCAUUCAAACGCACACAUGCAAGGUUUCCUCAUUUGUAAAGAGGGAUAUUAAUAUCUACUCAGCACGACUGUUGUAAGAAUCUGUGAUAAUAGGUGAAUACAGUGUUUGUCCCAGGCCUGGCUCAUAACCGCUACUCGGCACGACUGUUGUAAGAAUCUGUGAUAAUAGGUGAAUACAGUGUUUGUCCCAGGCCUGGCUCAUGACCGCUCAGUCACACUCUCAGUUGCUGUUGCCGUCAUCAGCAGGGAAGCAUGGUGCUUCCUGGUCUCAAAAGUAUUGACCCAGAGUGCCAUCCGAGGAAAACUUGACAACAGAAGUCAGUCUGGAGUAUAGUGGUGACGUCAGUGGCAAAGUGGAUUUAGACGGGGCUUCAUAAUUACUGGGAAGUGAGAUUGUCAGCAGGGACCUCGAGAUGGUAGAAAAGGCUGGAAAAAGUGAGGAGCUAGCACCUCUCCAGACCAUGGGAACAAAGCCUGAAAGAGAGGAAAAGUCCAGGACAAUUUCACAUUCCCAACAAGACAGAGGAGGAGGAGUGUGUCCACGGAACCAGGAACCAAAACUGAGGCAGGGGAGCUGAUGGUCCGGGAGAUGGGGUGGACAUCACAAGGAGGUUGUCAUAAUCCGUUCCAGAAUGUUGACUUUGACGUGAUGAUGGGACAUUGAAAGAGCAAAGAGCAUUGUGCUUCUACACGCAGAGUGGGCAGCUGAUACCAGAGACUCUGAGGGGACUCGGUAUGCCUGAGAGAUAGAGCACAGGAAGCAUAGGACGGACCUACAUGAACGGAGAGCAGCACUCUUCAUGCUAAACAUCUCAUUGCUUAAAUAACAGAAAACCAGGGUGACUGUUUCUUUUGCGGGGAAGUCACAGAGACCUAGAUACCACAGAACAUUUACUUAGGCCACAGGAUUGCUCUACGAGAAGAAGUGCCAAGUGGCCUGUGCUUCUGAACGAGGAAGAGAGGGGGCUCUUACGGAAAGCUGUGUUUUUCCUGUGCUGGGGAGUAUUGAUAUUUGUCUGCAUAUUCCUCACGUGUUAGCAGGAUGAUGAGACAUUAAUCCAGCACUGAUUCUCAUGCUAGGAUGCUAACUUCAGUGAAUAUUUGUCUGGAAAUUCUCUGCACACUUCCUGGUUGCUAGGCUACACAUCAGAACUACUGCAUUAUAAAUUUCUUCAAGUGCUUCUUUGUAUCCACUACUACUUUAACCGUGUUCCAUCAUUUUCUAAACGACAAAAUGGAAUUCACUGAGUUUAGCCACGGUCACAUGGUUUUAACCUCUUAGUUUUAUUAAUAUGUGCAUGCUCAUGCUUGCUUGAGUAUGUGUGUGCGUGCAUGUGCGUAUGUGUGUGUACACAUGCACUCCUGCACUGGUGCUCAGGCUUGCAUGCCACAAUGUAUAUGUAAAGAUCAGAGAACAACUUGUGGAAAUUGAUUCUCUUCCUCUGCCGUCUGGAUUCCAGGGAUGAAACUCAAACCAUCAGCAGGCGGCAAGCACCUUUGCCAGCUGAGCCAGGCCUAUAGCUGUUUGGGCUUUUCGGAUCAAAUUCUGUCUCAGUAAAAAUUACCCAACCCAAGACUUAGUCUUAAAGAGAAGUUUUUCUUUUGCUUUUGAAUUGUGUCUGAUUGUUUCUAUGUAAAUCACAGUGUUGAUCAUUUCUCUAAGAUCUUAGAACACCCGACUGUAGUCCAUUUCUUAUCUGAAUGAAAUGGCAUGCAUCACUAGUUGAAUUCUUGAAGUGAGGCUCAUCGCUAUUCUGAGUUAAAGCAGAUUGUAAUGAAAGUGAUUGCAUUUUCUAUAAGCUCUGAAGCGGCUCUGAAGGCGCCUUCCAGCAAGAAGGCGGUCUCAGGACCACACUGGGCUAUUUGAAUAUCAAAAUUCAAAUUAGAAAUGUUCACACCACUAGCUUUUCUGUUUGAUGAAAGUUGAAUUAUCAUGAGCUAGCAACCUAGGUGAGAUCGAACAGAUGGAAGAUGUUUUGAUUUUUAUUUAUAGACUUUGAAUAAUGCAUUUGAGAUUUGCAGAUGGUGCUCCUCGUAUAUGCUGCUCUCUGACUCUGACACUGUCCAUCACAGAAACCCUGUCAUGUGUUUAUUUAGCUCUUCUGCUGCUACAUUGUUGGUUAUAUAAGGAAGAGACCAUAUCUGCCCUGCUCAGAUCCUCAGUACGGUGCCUGGGUCAAUUGUAAUGAUCAUGCAACACAUAUUUGACUAUCUAAAUCAGGGAGCGAUGAUAAUUGGCUCUUUCAUGUGACUAGUCACACAGAAUUCUCAGACAUGUUUCUUGAAUAUGUCAGUGUAAUCAUCGGCAUCACCUAUUAGAAUCAAAGACACCUAGAGCCAUAAAGCCUCUUUGAGUCGUUUGGUGGCAGCGAUUCUCAACUUCAGAUGCACACAGGAAUUGCCUAGGAAUGAUGCAAAGAGUUCACCUGAGUCCAAUCCCCAGACACCAUGGUACAGCUGGUGUGGGUUGUGUUCUAAACUCUGAAAGUCAUAAACUUUCCCCAGGCAUUUACAACACAGAGCCAAAGCUGAGUUGUCCUGAUCAAUCAUAAUAUUUUCCUUUUGGGGAAAAAGUUGAGGCCCAAAGAAUUUAAGUAAUUAGCUUUUCAGUGAGCUGUGGCAAAGGAGAAAACCUAGGUGCACUGGUUCUGAAGCCACUGUGCUUUCUGCUGUACCCGAGUUUCUCAGAUUGGCUCAUUCCAAGUCACUUGCUCUUUUUAAAAGUAUAUAUUUAUUAUAUACAUAUUUCAAAAUAUGUAUAACUGUGGAAUGGAUGAAUUGAGAGAAUUAACAAAUGCAUCACCUUCACACCUAUAAUUUUUGUCACAAGAAGACUAAACAUCUGCUCUUAGCAUGUUUAAUUUCGUGUGUGUGUGUGUGUGUGUGUGUGUGUGUGUGUGUGUGUGUGUGUGUGUCUGUGUCUGUGAGACCAUAGACUCAAGGCAAUUAUAAACAAAAGAUCUAUUGAUUAGCUGAUAGCAGGAUGAACAAUAUCUGAGCCACAUUUGAGAUUGCCAUGUAGGAGGGGUGUGGGGAAGGACUUUUAAAGGGGAAAACCACAAGAAGAUCUUCAAUAUCUACGCAAGAAAGCAAAAACUAUUCUGUUCUGCCAAGUGAAGUGGAUAAGGCAACUCAAAACAAUCUUUGGGUAUCUGUGUAAGCAAGUUACAGAAGCAAAAAAGGCAGUUAAUUAUAGCAUAACAAGUAGAUAGUCACGGCUGUACAUUUUUGGGUUGGGGUCACUGAGUUAGGUUUACUGGGAACUUAUCUUCUAGGGACUGGACUCAGAGACAAAUGGCUGGUGGGUACCAAGAUGGAUGCCUGGCAUAAAAUGGAGCUUCUUUAGCCAUAACGAGGACCCAACAUACACUUUUCAUAUGGCUGUAUUAAUUGAAGUUCUUGUCAACAGUGCAGGUGGUACUUCUCUCCACAUCCUCAUGACACUUGUUACCUUGUCCAUUCGAUAAGAGCUGUUUUAAUGUUUGUAAAGUGGUAUCUCAUUGUAGUUUGGAUUCUCCUGUCUUUGAUGAUGAAUGUUUUCUCACUGACCUUCUUUCUGGUCAGGUCUUCUUUUUGAGAAAUGUCUAUGUAGGUCUUGGUCCAUUUUCUAAUCAGGCUUACUAUGGAGUUGAGCUUCUUGUCUAUUUGGCUGCUCACCACUCACCAGAUGUAUGGUCUGUAGGUAUUUUUGCUGAUUCCGUGGGCUGUAUCUUCAUUCCCUUGAUUGCUUCCUUGGCUGUGUCUAAGACUUUGAGCUCCAGCAAUCUCACUUACAAUUCAUUUUUGCUUUGGUGGCCUGUUCUUUGGGAUUUGGAUUAAAAAACAGAAAGGAAUAAUUGCCCACAUCACUAUAGUUUUCCCUAUAUUUUCUAUUAUUAGCCUUAAAGUUUAAAGCUCUAAUAUCAAUAUUGAGUUCAUUUUUAUGUGAUAUACAGUAAGGGCCUUAAUUUCUUUGUUCUGCAUGUGGAUAUUCACUUGUCUCAAAUUGUUGAGUGAUAAGAAUAUCUUCUUGCUUCAGAAAAGAUCAAAUGACUGUGGAAGCUCCUGUUUGUUACUGGGUGUUCUGGUCUGCUCCAUUGGUCAAUGUGCUGGUUUUUAAUCUGGUACCAUGCUGUUUUGACUACUGUAGCUUUAAAGGUGGGUAGUCUGACACUUCUAGUUUUCUUCUUUUAACAAAAGUUUGCCGGGAGGUGAUGGCACACACCUUUAAUCCCAGCACUUGGGAGUCAGAAGCAGGUAGAUAUGAGUUCAAGGCCAGCCUGGUCUCCAGAGCGAGUUCCAGGACAGCCAGGGGUACACAGAGAAAACCUGUCUUGAAAAACCAAAAAAAAAAAAAAAAUGUUUUUUUAUUAUUUUAAAUUGUGUGUGUGUGUGUGUGUGUGUGUGUGUGUGUGUGUGUGUGUGUGUGUGUUUGAAGGUAUGUGCACACAAAUGCAGAUGCCUUCUGAGACUCUAGGCAUUAGGUCCCCUGGAGCUAGAGCCAUAGACAGUUGUGAGAUUCGUAGUGUGGGUGCUGCUAACUGAACUCUGGUCCUCUGGAAGAGUAGUAACCUGUGCCAUCUCUCCAGGCCUCAUUAUUGAAUUUACUAAUGUUUUCUUACUGAGUUUGUAUCUAGCACCAUCAGAGAUGCUGGUAUUUAAUUUUCUUUUCCUAUAUACAAUCCUCUUGUUUGGCUUUGCUAUUUAGGGAGAUUUUGGACUCCUAAAAUUGGUACUUCUUCAAUUUUGUGGGGAAACCUGUAGAAAAUUUUUAGUAUUUUAAAGUGGAAUUAAGAGUUGGUUACUUAAAAAAAUAAAAAUCAACAAACCUUUAUCUAUACUAAUUAAGAAAUUGAAAGAGAAAGCUCAAGUUUAUAAAAUUUAAAAACGAGACAUUACACUGGUACCAGAGAAAUACAAAGGAUCCUGGAGGCCACCAUGAACCAUUAUAUACCAAGAAAUUAGAAAACCUAAAAGAAAAUAAUGUACCCUGGUCUUAUACAGCCUGCUAAGACUGAAUCACAACAAAGUGUACAGGGUAAUCUGGACAGACUAAUAAUGGACAAAGAGUUUGAAUCAAUAAUAUCUUCGUUAAAAGAAAAACCCAGAGCCUGAUGCCUCCACUGUGGAAGUCUACAGAUCCCUUCACUUACUCUGAUAUUUCAUAUUUGCCUUUAAAUAGAAUCCCAUUUUAGCAAGAACAUUUAAAGAAAAUCUUAUAUCAUUUGGUAACUAGAAAAUUUAUUUCGCUUACUACACACAAACUGGGAAAAAGGAAAAUAAAAUAUCAUUAAGUUCUGGUAAUAAAAUUACCCAUUGAAGACUUGUGAUCUGAAGUAUUUUUUUCUUUUCUUUUCCAAAACUGUAAGAACAGGAAUAAACAUAUUGCUGUGGCUAGUUUGAGGCAUUCUCCUGUCUAAGACAUCGGAAAGAGAAUUGAAACUGAGUGCUAGAUCUAGAUGAAUCACAUAGUACACUCUGAAAGAACUGGUUCAUUCUUUUAUUGAUUAAUAAUUCGACCCACUGAUCUCAGGUACUGUGAUGGUGUGCAUACUCUGGAUAGUGCUGUGCACUGAUCUCAGGUACUGUGAUGGUGUGCAUACUCUGGAUAGUGCUGUGCAUGUAUAUAGUUGGAGGCAAACGGCAAACGGGUUGCACUGCUGUACCUUCAGUGGGCAUUUGAUCAGAAUGGCUCAAGAUCAAAAUAUAAACUCCUGAUGGCAGAAUGCUGGCAGAAGACUUCUGGAUAAAGCCUGAUGUUUUGGUGCACAACAGCCAUCCCAGUACUUGGGUGGGGGAGGGAGAAGGAUUUCAUGUUUGAAGCUGGCCUGGUCAACAUAGUGAGACUCCAUCUCAAAAAACUAAAAUCAACCAGCCCAACAAAGAAUGGAGCAUAUUUUUUUAUGUGCCCUAAAGGGGGGAAAAAGCCCACCAAGAAUUCUAUCUUUCACCCUCCCUCUUUCUCCCUCUCUGUCCUGAGUGUGUGUGUGUGUGUGUGUGUGUGUGUGUGUGUGUGUGUGUGUGUGUGUGUGUUUCUGGGGAUUUGACACAGGGUAUCGCAGCCUACCACUGACAUGAUAGUCCCAGCCCCAUUGAGUUACAUCUCCAGCCCUUCUUUUAUUUUUUUACCUACUUUUAUUGGGCAGCUGGGAUUGCAGGCCUGUGUUACCAACCACCACCAAGCUUAUCUGAGAACUUCUUUUAUUGAAUGUAAAGCUCUUCAAAUUAUUAAGGAAUCAAAUCAGAUGCAGGCCACAGAUGAAUACUGUCUAAGUAACGGGUUCUUCUGUUCAGUCAGAAAAGGGUGGAAUGAGGUCGGAAGAGGAGAAUGGAUGACCCUAUUCCGACCCUCAGCUAAGAUAAAUUGAUUAGGCCAUGUUUUCUAAGGCACAUUUUUAUUUUCUGAGGAAACUUUUUUUUCCUUAUCAGAUACCCCUCAGGGGUAUGAACCAAUGGCAUAUGAUAGACCCUAAGGCUGAUGGGAAAUGCUGCAAGGAGAAUUCCAAUUGAGAACACAUUUGCUGGAUCAAUCGAUCCUUAUUUACAUUCUCCAUAGGAUGCAAAUUCACUGGCCCUUAUUCUACUUCUUCUGUGAGGGAUGAAACCUCUUUGUCUGCUUGUCCUGCUCUAAAGUUGUCUAAUAGACACCAGCCCAGUGACCUGGCUUGUCUGUAGAAAGCCAGCUGAGAUCUGUGGCUCUGUUUCGAAGCGUGUGAUAAUACAAUCACUUUCCUUUCAACACACUGGCGAGGAGCUCUCCCCUGCCAGGAACUGAACGCUUUAAUUCUCUGAUUCAUCAAAGCCUUUCCCUAUACAUGGUGUCAAAUAACCUUUCUUUUCAGGAGGUCUAAUCCAGUAGCCUCCCAGACCUCAGGAUGAAACCAGGCGGCAUGGACACGGUGUGCAAGAAGAACAAAGGAGAAACAAUUCAAAGCUGAGCCGCACAUUACAUAACGCCUUGUGUUGGAAAAUCCAUGACCCAUAAAACACUUACCUACUCUGUGGGCUUUAAAUAAAGCAGAGUGGUAUGCUUUUUCUACAGUCAUCUUUCUGUCAGAAUUCCAAUUAUUCUAUGACUCAGUGGGUAUGUGUCUAGCUUUUUAAAAACUCAAUUUUUUAUUAUUUUGGAUAAGAAUGAAGAAGUUUUCAUAUGAAGUUUGCAAAGGAAAAGUUUAUUUAACAAUGAGCUGCUGCAUCAAACACGUACACAUUUUAGUUCAUGUUUGAAAGAACAUGUUUUAAGUGAUGCUUUAAGAAUUGAGGCUUACCCUUAUGAGAGGAACAUUGUCUUUGGUCUCGCUAUCUGAAUGUGCAGCAAUUCAUUCCUGUCUAGAAACUGACUGAAAUCCGUGGCAAGGAUGGGGGUACCCAAGCAACCUUGGUUGGGCGUUGGGAUACAGACCACCAAAUAAGAAGACUAAUCAAUGAACACACACAAGAGAGGCAUUCCCCCCGCCCCCCGUUUUCACAAACCUUGUCUAUAGGCCCUUUUGGCUUCCAUCUACAGCACAGCCUGGCUAGCUGUUCACUUUGUAGACUUCGACCAUCCCCUGAGCACUCAGCUAGACCAUCUUUCUCACAACCCUUGCACACUGGGGUAGCCUGCGACUUGUUCUACCAGUGGGGUAUGCUCCAAAUGAGGCAUUCACCUUCCUCUGACCCAAUAAAAGUUCUGUGUGUCUUUCACCCCACCCUGCUCACUGGGUGGCACAGGAUCCAAAUAGUCCUCUAAAGGGAGUUGAAGUCACAGAACAAGUGGCCACAUACCAAUCAUUCAUAUGCAUGUGACUGUGAACUUGGAGAAAGUGAGAAAUAAAAUUUUGUUAUCUUAAAUCAC